AGAGCGAACGCUGGCGGCAGGCCUAACACAUGCAAGUCGAACGGACCCUUCGGGGUUAGUGGCGGACGGGUGAGUAACACGUGGGAACGUGCCUUUAGGUUCGGAAUAGCUCCUGGAAACGGGUGGUAAUGCCGAAUGUGCCCUUCGGGGGAAAGAUUUAUCGCCUUUAGAGCGGCCCGCGUCUGAUUAGCUUGUUGGUGAGGUAAUGGCUCACCAAGGCGACGAUCAGUAGCUGGUCUGAGAGGAUGACCAGCCACACUGGGACUGAGACACGGCCCAGACUCCUACGGGAGGCAGCAGUGGGGAAUCUUGCGCAAUGGGCGAAAGCCUGACGCAGCCAUGCCGCGUGGAUGAUGAAGGUCUAGGAUUGUAAAAUCCUUUCACCGGUGAAGAUAAUGACUGUAGCCGGAGAAGAAGCCCCGGACUAACUUCGUGCUAGCAGCCGC
rnacentral:rRNA from 1 species